rnacentral:rRNA from 1 species
CAGUCGGGAAUUUUGGGCAAUGGGCGAAAGCCUGACCCAGCAACGCCGCGUGAAGGAUGAAGUAUUUCGGUAUGUAAACUUCGAAAGAAUAGGAAGAAUAAAUGACGGUACUAUUUAUAAGGUCCGGCUAACUACGUGCCAGCAGCCGCGGUAAUACGUAGGGACCAAGCGUUGUUCGGAUUUACUGGGCGUAAAGGGCGCGUAGGCGGCUUUGUAAGUCACUUGUGAAAUCUCCGGGCUUAACUCGGAACGGCCAAGUGAUACUGCAAUGCUAGAGUGCAGAAGGGGCAAUCGGAAUUCUUGGUGUAGCGGUGAAAUGCGUAGAUAUCAAGAGGAACACCUGAGGUGAAGACGGGUUGCUGGGCUGACACUGACGCUGAGGCGCGAAAGCCAGGGGAGCAAACGGGAUUAGA